UGGGGAAUAUUGGACAAUGGGCGAAAGCCUGAUCCAGCAAUACCGAGUGAGUGAUGAAGGCCCUAGGGUUGUAAAGCUCUUUUAGCAAGGAAGAUAAUGACGUUACUUGCAGAAAAAGCCCGGGCUAACUCCGUGCCAGCAGCCGCGGUAAGACGGAGGGGGCUAGCGUUGUUCGGAAUUACUGGGCGUAAAGAGUGCGUAGGCGGUUUAGUAAGUUGGAAGUGAAAGCCCGGGGCUUAACCUCGGAAUUGCUUUCAAAACUACUAAUCUAGAGUGUAGUAGGGGAUGAUGGAAUUCCUAGUGUAGAGGUGAAAUUCUUAGAUAUUAGGAGGAACACCGGUGGCGAAGGCGGUCAUCUGGGCUACAACUGACGCUGAUGCACGAAAGCGUGGGGAGCAAACA
rnacentral:rRNA from 1 species